UGGGGAAUUUUGGACAAUGGGCGAAAGCCUGAUCCAGCAAUGCCGCGUGUGUGAAGAAGGCCUUCGGGUUGUAAAGCACUUUUGUCCGGAAAGAAAUCCUUGGCUCUAAUACAGUCGGGGGAUGACGGUACCGGAAGAAUAAGCACCGGCUAACUACGUGCCAGCAGCCGCGGUAAUACGUAGGGUGCAAGCGUUAAUCGGAAUUACUGGGCGUAAAGCGUGCGCAGGCGGUUUGCUAAGACCGAUGUGAAAUCCCCGGGGCUCAACCUGGGAACUGCAUUGGGUGACUGGCAGGCUAGAGUAUGGCAGAGGGGGGUUAGAAUUCCACGUGUAGCAGUGAAAUGCGUAGAGAUGUGGAGGAAUACCGAUGGCGAAGGCAGCCCCCUGGGCCAAUACUGACGCUCAUGCACGAAAGCGUGGGGGAGCAAACAGGAUUUCAGAUACCCUGGUAGUCCACGCCCUAAACGAUGUCAACUAGUUGUUGGGGAUUCAUUUCCUUAGUAACGUAGCUAACGCGUGAAGUUGACCGCCUGGGGAGUACGGUCG
rnacentral:rRNA from 1 species